CGCACAGUAAACGAUGAAUACCAGCUGUUGGCGAUAGACAGUCAGCGGCGUAAGCGAAAGCGUUAAGUAUUCCACCUGGGGAGUACGCCGGCAACGGUGAAACUCAAAGGAAUUGACGGGGGCCCGCACAAGCGGAGGAACAUGUGGUUUAAUUCGAUGAUACGCGAGGAACCUUACCCGGGCUUGAAUUGCAACCGAAUAAUCGAGAGAUCGAUUAGCCGCAAGGCGGUUGUGAAGGUGC
rnacentral:rRNA from 1 species